UUUCCGCCGUCGCUGUGCGCGUGGAGGCGGUUCUUGCCCCUUUGUCCACGUUUCGUCGUGGAUCCCACGCCAUCUGCACGUAUCCGGGUUCCAUCCGCGGACAUCGGUAUCUUCCCGCACUGUUGGCUUUGUCUCCGCCGCUCUCCCGCGCCGUCUGGUCGUGGGGCACCCCGGGAGUGUCACGUGGCUGCUUUGGGUGAGAGGUGUCCUCGGGGAGAGCCAAGACUGAGACCCAGGUCACUGACACCAUCCCCCUGAGGAUACCCUGGAUCCAACUGGGGCUGGACUCUGUCCCUCAGGCACCUGGUUCCUCCACUGCUGCGACCACAAAAAAGAGAAAGGGCACUCCUCUGCCCCUGCCUCCGCCGCCCACCUGAAAAGUCCAUCAGACUCUAAGACAACCGGCAGCAGAGAUCCCAGAAGAACCACC